rnacentral:misc_RNA from 1 species
GCAAACUUGGUCAUUUAGAGGAAGUAAAAGUCGUAACAAGGUUUCCGUAGGUGAACCUGCGGAAGGAUCAUUACCAAUCUUUAGCGGGCCUUGGCUUGUCCAUGGUCUCGCAAAACUCUGUAUUUAAAACCCGCUCUUUUAAAUUUUAAAUUAUGUUAUCAUAUUAUAAUUAAGACCACUUUCAACAACGGAUCUCUUGGCUCUCCAGGCAAACUUGGUCAUUUAGAGGAAGUAAAAGUCGUAACAAGGUUUCCGUAGGUGAACCUGCGGAAGGAUCAUUACCAAUCUUUAGCGGGCCUUGGCUUGUCCAUGGUCUCGCAAAACUCUGUAUUUAAAACCCGCUCUUUUAAAUUUUAAAUUAUGUUAUCAUAUUAUAAUUAAGACCACUUUCAACAACGGAUCUCUUGGCUCUCGCAUCGAUGAAGAACGCAGC